rnacentral:rRNA from 1 species
GACGAACGCUGGCGGCGUGCUUAACACAUGCAAGUCGAACGGAAAGGCCCAGCUUGCUGGGUACUCGAGUGGCGAACGGGUGAGUAACACGUGGGUGAUCUGCCCUGCACACUGGGAUAAGCCUGGGAAACUGGGUCUAAUACCGGAUAUGACCGACUGUCGCAUGGGGGUUGGUGGAAAGCGUUUGCGGUGUUGGGUGUGCUCGCGGCCUAUCAGCUUGUUGGUGGGGUAGUGGCGUACCAAGGCGACGACGGGUAGCCGACCUGAGAGGGUGAUCGGCCACACUGGGACUGAGAUACGGCCCAGACUCCUACGGGAGGCAGCAGUGGGGAAUAUUGCACAAUGGGCGGAAGCCUGAUGCAGCGACGCCGCGUGCGGGAUGACGGCCUUCGGGUUGUAAACCUCUUUCGCCAGUGACGAAGCGUGAGUGACGGUACUUGGAGAAGAAGCACCGGCUAACUACGUG